rnacentral:rRNA from 1 species
GUGUCAGCAGCCGCGGUAAUACGUAGGCAGCAAGCGUUGUUCGGAGUUACUGGGCGUAAAGGGUGUGUAGGCGGUUCUCUAAGUCUGGUGUGAAAUCUCCCGGCUCAACUGGGAGGGUGCGCCGGAAACUGGAGGGCUAGAGUGUGGGAUGGGAGAGUGGAAUUCCUGGUGUAGCGGUGAAAUGCGUAGAUAUCAGGAGGAACACCUGUGGUGUAGACGGCUCUCUGGACCACAACUGACGCUGAGACACGAAAGCGUGGGUAGCAAACAGGAUUAGAAACCCCCGUAGUCC